AUGGCCUGGCCAUGGAUGGACCUUCCCCUGCUGCCACGCUCGUCCAAGGAAAGAUGGCCGCCGCUAUACAUUGCCGGAGGAGCACAUUCCUGCAGAGCUCAUGGGACGCACCCCUUCAAGGGGCUUGCUGCUGACCACGAGGGUCAACUUGGAGCUCCUCUCUGCCCCUGCAGGCGAUUAACCAUCUUCCCGUGGCAGUCACCGCCGCUCCAGCAGGGGCUUGCUGACCACAAGGAUCAACUUGGUGCCUGCUUUGGAAUUUCCCAUGAGAGAGAGGCAAUUCUGACCAUGCAUCUGCAGCAGCGGCUACCUUGCCACACACAAACCCAGCCGUAA
rnacentral:rRNA from 1 species